rnacentral:lncRNA from 1 species
UCAGGUUUUGUUGUUAUAUGCAACUACCCCCAUGAACAUUUGGUCCAACUUCCCUUGGAAUUCAGGAUAAAUGCUAGAUGUUCUAAAUUUUUGAGCUUCAGGCACAACCAGCAUAUAAAUUGGUAGUUUAAUAAGAAAUUAUAAAUAACCUCAUAAAUAAAAAAAAAACAAAAAUAUCCAAAAUUAUUAAUAUACCUUUAGCUUACUCUCCCACCAAUCAUCCGACCC